rnacentral:rRNA from 1 species
GUAGGGUGCGAGCGUUAAUCGGAAUUACUGGGCGUAAAGCGUGCGCAGGUGGUCAUGCAAGACAGAUGUGAAAUCCCCGGGCUUAACCUGGGAACUGCAUUUGUGACUGCACGGCUAGAGUGCGGCAGAGGGGGAUGGAAUUCCGCGUGUAGCAGUGAAAUGCGUAGAUAUGCGGAGGAACACCGAUGGCGAAGGCAAUCCCCUGGGCCUGCACUGACGCUCAUGCACGAAAGCGUGGGGAGCAAACAGGAUUAGAUACCCUGGUAGUCCACGCCCUAAACGAUGUCAACUGGUUGUUGGACGGCUUGCUGUUCAGUAACGAAGCUAACGCGUGAAGUUGACCGCCUGGGGAGUACGGCCNNAAGGUUG